rnacentral:lncRNA from 1 species
AGUGAUUGUUUCCUGCACUCGAAACUGAUCAUGAAAGCUUGUUUGAGUUCUUUGUUGGGUGCAGAAUCUCCUCAGGUGGUCCUACAACACUUAGCAUCUUAGGAAGUAGUUGGAGCAAGGAAAGAUCAGCUUGGAAGUUGCUUUCUGGUGCAGCAGAAUCACGUUCUUCACUGACCUGCAUAAUUUCUGGUUGCUGGAACAGCAGUGUGAAUCACUUGCAGCUGUGAGAUUUCUGUGAAAUUAAUCCAUUUCACUCUAUUUGAGAGAAGCCAAAGCUGCCACACAAUUUAUAUCUCCCUUUCUAUUGAUCUUCAAUUUCCAAUUCUGAUUUUUAAUUACCUUGAAUAUUCACCAAUUACAAUUGUUAGUGCUUGUGUAUUUGCUAUUGUUGCUACGUUGCAGCUGUCUACAUUUGAUCUGAAAGAUGUCCUAUAGCUAUUUGUAAUAGAUUGAAAGGUGGAAAUAGAAAACAUUACAGAGACAAGGCCAGUGCAAGGGUGAAUAUAUCAAACACAACCUAAAGCACUUGUGAGGAAGGAUUCAAACAGUGUAUGCAGUAAUGACUGACAGUAGCGUGAUUUUUUUUUUUUUAAUUGUUUUGAAUUGUAAUAGGGUUCUGUGAUAGUUUUUCUUCAUUUCAUUGUAAAAGGCCAUUUAAAGUCCAAGCAUUUGUAAGAGUCCNUGGUGCUCUUUCAAAUCUUGGCAACUGAUCUUGUUUGGGUUGUCCUUGUGUUUAAAUUUGUGUUUCUUUAGGGGUCAUAUUAGAAGUCUGAUUUUAGAGUCUUUGGUUUUAUCUUUGUUUGUUUGAGUCCACUUUUAAAUUCAAUAGUGAAUUCUCCUUUGAAAAUUGGUCAAAGUAAGUAACCUUAGACAUUCUGGCUAGGCAAGACUUGGUACUUAAGUAGCCCUUGGCUCACCUCUCUUAUCUGGGAAUAGUCUUUUGGUGAAAUCUUAAACCUUUUCAAAAUUAGUUCUCACUUUUGAACUUAAAAGAUGUUUUCUCCCCAUUUAGAGAGUCAUUUUGAAAAUCUCAUUUUUUUUGAAACAAAAAGAACUCAAAGAGCUCAAUUUAUGGCGACUGAGACAUAAGGAAAAUAAGAAGAUGAGUGGAGUGUAUUAUCAAGCUGAGAGAGAUAUCCCAUUAUUUGGUAGGAACAUUAGUGCCUUAUCAUAUUUAGCUUGGGAGAAGAAAAUUAAUGAGUUACAUCCAUUCUUCGCUAGCAUGAGUGACUCCUAUGUCCUUAGUCUAUACACUGUUCGAUUUGAAGAUUAUGCACGAGAGUGGUGGGAUAAGAGGCAAUUUAGUGUUAGACAUGGUAGAAAAUCCCCCAUUCAUGAUUGGAAAGAAUUAAAAGAUUGCAUGAGAAGAACCUAUCUUCCUCCUUCAUUUGAGAGAAACCAUGAGCUUAUGAGAGAAUUCAUUAGAGAGGGCAAGUCAUUCAUUAAAAAUUUAAGUGGGUUUNNNNNNNNNNNNNNNNNNNNNNNNNNNNNNNNNNNNNNNNNNNNNNNNNNNNNNNNNNNNNNNNNNNNNNNNNNNNNNNNNNNNNNNNNNNNNNNNNNNNNNNNNNNNNNNNNNNNNNNNNNNNNNNNNNNNNNNNNNNNNNNNNNNNNNNNNNNNNNNNNNNNNNNNNNNNNNNNNNNNNNNNNNNNNNNNNNNNNNNNNNNNNNNNNNNNNNNNNNNNNNNNNNNNNNNNNNNNNNNNNNNNNNNNNNNNNNNNNNNNNNNNNNNNNNNNNNNNNNNNNNNNNNNNNNNNNNNNNNNNNNNNNNNNNNNNNNNNNNNNNNNNNNNNNNNNNNNNNNNNNNNNNNNNNNNNNNNNNNNNNNNNNNNNNNNNNNNNNNNNNNNNNNNNNNNNNNNNNNNNNNNNNNNNNNNNNNNNNNNNNNNNNNNNNNNNNNNNNNNNNNNNNNNNNNNNNNNNNNNNNNNNNNNNNNUUAAGAAACCUUCUUCUAAACAUGUUCUUUUAUACAUUUUGUUGGGUCAUAGAAAACUAAUUAGAGAUAUGUUUGAUGCUUAUUGUAGAUUAAUCUUUGACCCAAGAGGAACUUCUAUGGAGUCUACAAUAAUAAGUCCUCAGGAGAACCAUCAAGAUUUGAGGACAAAUCCUUUCCAAGGGGGAGGGGAUGAUGACUUGGGUCCAAUAAUAAGUCUCUGCACCAACAGUCUACUCCUGAGUUUUCCCGAUUCCAACUAGCUUCCUUCCGGUGGAAGGCUGCCUGAGCUAGAUCUCACCAUCACCGAGAGCUCCUCUGCCAUCAAAUUCCUCCACUGAUCUGCAUCUUUCGCUGCUACCAAACACUGCAAGACGUCCGUUGCUUGUUCUCCCCUUCCACUGGCUGGAUCGACUUCAUCAAAAACCCCUUCAAAACACUUAUAGACCCAUAAAAACCCACUAUAAACCCUUCAAAAACGACUAUAAACCCUUCAACACCACUACAAAACCUCUCAAAACACUUAUAAACCCCUUAAAAACCACUAUAAACCCCUAAAAACCACUAAAACCCCCUCAAAACACCUAUAAACCCCUUAAAGGUGUGUAUGGGCGAAUAUGAGUGUAGGUAUAAGUUUGUAUGUGGGUCGGUGUGUGUAUGUGUUUGUCUGUGAGUGUGUGUGGAUGCUUGCGUGUAUGUGUUCUUGUGUUUGUGUGUGUGUGUGUGUGUGUGUGUUUGUGUGGGUAAUAUGUGUGUGUAGGUGUGUAUGUGUUUGUGUUUAUACAAUUAUGUGUGUUUGUGUAUGUGUUUUUGUGUGUGUGUGUGAGAGUCUGUGUGUGUGCGUGUUUGUGUAUGUAUGAGUGUCUGUGUGUGUGUCUUUAUGUGAUUGUGUGUGUCAUGUGUGUGCGUGUGUGUGUUUAUGUGUUUAUGUUGGUGGUAUGUGUGGGAGUAUAAGUUUUUAUGUGUGUGGGUGUGUGCGUGUGUGUAAUAUAUGUGUUUGUGUAAGUGUGUGUGUGUGUCUGAAUGUGUGUUUGUGUGUUGUUUCUGCAUGUUUGUGUGAGAGUGUGUAUGUGUGUGUUUGUUUGGUAAUAUGUGUGUGUGAGUCUGUCUGUGUCUGUUUUCAUAUAAUUACGUGUGUUUGUGUAUGUGUUGGUGUGUGUGUGUGUGUGUGUUUGUAGUGUAAUAUGUGUGUUUGUGUAUGUAAUAUAUGUGUUAAGGUGUUUGUGUGUGUGUAUCUAUGUGCUUAUGUGUUGUGAAUGGGGGGUUUAUGUACGUGUGUGUUUGUUUGAGUGUGUGUGUUUGUUUGUGUCUUUGAGAGUGUUUGUGUGUAUGUGUCUUUGUGUGCGUAAUAUGUGUGGGUGGGUAGGUGUGAGUUGGAUAUGCUUAUACGGUUGUGCGUGUGUGUGUUUAUGUGUUUAAUACAAGUGUUUGUCAGAAUGUUUGUGUGUUUUUGUAUUUGUGUGUGUCCAUGUGUGUGUGUGUCGGUUUGUGUGUGUGUUUGUGUUCGUGCGUGUGUGUUUGUUUGGGCGUGAGUUAGUGUGUGCAUUUUUAUUUGUGUUUGUAUGUGUUUGUUUUUGUAUUUGUAUGUGUGAGUGUGUGUGAUUGUAUGUUUUAAUGUUUGGGAGAGAGAGAGAACGAAAAAAAGAGAGAGUGUGUGUGUGUGUCUGUGUUUGUGUAUGUGAUGUGUGUAUUUAUGUUUACGUGUGUUUAUGUGGGUGAUAUGUGUGUGUAGGUGAAUAAAAGUGUAAGUAUAGGUUUGUGUAUGUGUGUGUAAUAUAUGUGUUUGUAUGGGCCGGUGUGUGCGUAAUAUCUGUGUGUGUUUGUUUGUAUGUGUUUGUGGUGGUAGAUGCGUAUGUGUUUGUGUGUGCAUUCUUGUGUGUAUGUGUAUGUGUGUUUGUGUGUGUGUGUGUGUUGUUGGGUGUGAAUGUGUGUUUGUGCUUGCUUGUUUGUGUGAGAGCGUGUGUCUGUGUUUGUGUGGCUAAUAUGCGUGUGUGUGGGUGUAUCUGUGUUUAUACAGUUACGAGUGUUUAUGAAUAUGUUAGUGUAAUAUGUGUGUGAUGUGUGUUUGUGUGGGUGUAUCUGUGUUUAUACAGUUACGAGUGUUUAUGAAUAUGUUAGUGUAAUAUGUGUGUUUGUGUAUGUAUGAGUGUGUGUGUGUGUGUGUGUGUGAUGUGUGUGUGUGAUGUGUGUGUGUGAUGUGUGUGUGUGUGUGUUUAUGUGAGUGAUAUGUGUGUGAGGGUAUAAGUUUGUAUGUGUGUGUGUAAUAUAUGUGUUUGUGUGGGUGGAUGGGUUUGUGUGUGUGUGUGUAAUAUGUGCGUGUGUGUGUGUGUGUCUAUGUUUGUGUGUGUGUGUGUGUUUGUGUGUGUGCAUGUAUGAAUGUGUGUUUGUGUUUGUGUGGGUAAUAUGUGUGUAUGUGAGUGCGUAUGUGUCUGUGUUUAUACAGUUACGUGUGUUUGUGUUUGUGUUUUUGUGUGUGAGAGUGUGUUUUUUUGUGUGUGUACUAUGUGUGUUUGUGUAUGUAAUAUAUAUGUGUUAAUGUGUAUGAAUAUGUGGAUGGGUUUUUGUGUGUAUACGUAUGUGUGUGUUUUUUUUAUGUUUGUGUGAGUGUGUGUGUGUUUGUUUGUGUUUGGGAGUGUUUGUAUGUGAGUUUCUUUGUCUUCGUAAUGUGUGUGUGUAUGUGGGUGUGUGUGGCUAUAUGUUUAUACCAUUGUGCGUGUGUGUGUGUUUAUGUGUUUAAUAUAUGUGUUUGUGAAAGACUGUGUGUAGGUCAUUUUUUGUGUGUAUGUGUGUUUCUGUGUGUAAUAUGCGUGUGGGUUUAAAUACCUUUUUAGUCCCCAAGUUCGGGACUGAAUUUCUGUUUUGUACCCGGUUUUAAAAAUGAAAACAUUAGAUCCCUAUGUUAUGAAAAUUGUAUGAAUAAGGUCCUCUCCGUUAAGUUCACAGCAACGACUUUAAUUCUAUGCUGAUCUGGCACACUUUUUAUCUUCUCUCCUCUGCUGCACAGUUUUUUCUCUGUCAUGUUCAGUUUUUUCUCUCUCUUCCAUUAAUGCAAUUAAGUGUUGACAAAUUUCCACGUUCGAUGGGGCCCACAUAAAUAAGCAACUGAAAGCCUUUGCUUCACCCGAUUCAUCAAGACCCGUGGAGCACACUCCAGUACAACUCGAGCAUUUUAACAACUAUGGCCCCAAGAUUACCACUGGUUAGUAUAUAUUUGUGUGUAUACUAAUGUUUCUUGAUAUGUCGGAAAUCUCUAGGCUUAUUUUAACAAUUAUGGCCCCAAGAUUACCACUGGUUAGUAUAUAUGUGUGUGUAUACUAAUGUUUCUUGAUAUGUCGGAAAUCUCUGGGCUUAUUUUUGAAAUUUGUUUUUAUCUUUUUGUUUAGUGACAUUGUCAUGCAAUAUGAUGAAACGAUGAAAAAGCUAGCGGAAAAACUGAUGUGGCUGAUGUUGGAAUUUCUGGGUAUCACAAAGGAAGACCUAAAAUGGGCCGGUGCAAAAGGUCAAUUCAAAAUGACUUGCGCUACCUUGCAACUGAAUUCGUACCCAACAUGUCCGGAUCUGGAUCGGGCAAUGGGUCUGGCCGCCCACACGGAUUCCACCCUUUUGACAAUUCUUUACUAGGACAACUUAAGCGGACUGCAAGUUCACCGGAAAGGCAGCGUAUGGGUGACGGUGCUGCCAGUGAAUGUCGGGCUUGUGGUAAACGUGGGAGACCUGAUGCAGAUAUUGUCAAUCGAGUUGUACUGGAGUGUGCUCCACGGGUCUUGAUGAAUCGGGUGAAGCAAAGGCUUUCAGUUGCUUAUUUAUGUGGGCCCCCAUCGAACGUGGAGAUUUGUCAACACAAGAACUUUCUGCCAAAUUUUAAUAAUAAUUACACUUAAUUGCAUUAAUGGAAGAGAGAGAGAAAAUUGAACAUGAUAGAGAAAAAACUGUGCAGCAGAGGAGAGAAGAGAAAAAGUGUGCCAGAUCAGCAUAGAAUUAAAGUCGUUGAUGUGAACUUAACGGAGAGGACCUUAUUCAUACAAUUUUCAUAACAUAGGGAUCUAAUGUUUUCAUCUUUAAAACCGGGUACAAAACAGAAACUCAGUCCCCAACUUGGGGACUAAAAAGGUAUUUAAACCCACACGCAUAUUACACACAAAAACGCACAUACACACAAAAAAUGACUCACACACAGUCUUUCACAAACAUAAAUUAAACACAUAAACACACACACAGUCUUUCACAAAUACAGAAAAAAACACAAACAAACACAAAUGAAAAUACACACACUAACUCACGCCCAAAGAAACACACACAGACACACACACAAACCGACACACACACAGUGACACCCACAAACGCAAAAACACACAAACACUCUGACAAACACAUGUAUUAAACACAUAAACACACACACACACGCACAACCUUAUAAACAUAUACACUCUCACACCCACCCACACACACACAUAUUACGCAAACAAAGACACAAAGACACAAACACUCCAAAACACACACACUCAAACAAACACAAAAAAACACACACAUACAUAAACCCCCCAUUCACACACAUACGCACAUAGAUACACACACACAUGCACCGAAACACACAUAUAUUACAUACACAAACACACAUAUUACACUACAAACACACACACACACAAACACAUACACAAACACACGUAAUUAUACAAACACAAACACAAACAUACUCACACACACACAUAUUACCAAACAAACACACACACACACUCUCAUACAAACAUGCACACACAACACACAAACCCACAUUCAGACACAUACACACCCAUAAACAUUAACACUCACACACAUAAACACCCACACAAACACAUAUAUUACACACACGCACACACCUACAUACAUACAAACUUAUACCCCCACACACAUACCACCAACAUAAACACAUAAACACACACACACACACGCACACACAUCACACACACAAUCACAUUAACACACACACACACAAAGACACUCAUACAUACACAAACACACACACACACAGACUCACAAUAAAACACAUACACAACCACACGUAACUGUAUAAACACAAACACAAACACACCUACACACACAUAUUACCCACACAAACACACACACACACACAAACUCACACACACACACAAAAAAACACAUACACAAACACACGUAACUGUAUAAAUACAAAAACAAACACAGCUACACACACAUAUUACCCACACAAACACACACACACACUCUCACACAAACAUGCACACAUAAACACACAUUCACACACACAAACACACACACAUAAACACAAACACAAACACACACACCUCCACAAACACAUAUAUAUUACACACACACCCACCCACAUACAAACUUAUACCCACACUCUUAUUCGCCCAUACACACAUCACCCACAUAAACACACACAAACACAUAGACACACAUACAAUCUCUCUCUCUCUCUCUUAAACACGAAAAUACACAAUCACACUUACAUUUACACACAAACAACACAUUAUAGUGCUUAUUGAGCGGUUUGUAAGUGUUUUUAGUUGUUUUAGGGGUUUUUAAGGGUUUAUAGUGGUUAUUGAGGGGUUUAUAAGUGUUUUUAGUAGUUUUUAGUGGUUUUUAAGGCUUUAUAGCGGGUUUAUAAGUGUUUUUAGGGGUUUUUAAGGGUUUAUAGUGGUUUUUUAGGAGUUUAUAAGUGUUUUUAGGGGUUUUUGGUGGUUUUUAAGGGUUUAUAAUGGUUUUUGAAUGUUUAUAUGUGUUUUAAGGGGUUUUAUUCGUUUUUAAGAGUUUAUAUUGGAUUUUGAGGGGUUUAAAUGUGUUUUCAGUGGUUUUUGAGGGGUUUAAAAGUGUUUUUAGAGGUUUUUAAGGGUUUAUAGUGGUUUUUGAUGGGUUUAUAAGUGUUUUUAGUGGCCUUUAGGGGUUUAUAGAGGUUUUUGAGGGGUUUAAAAGUGUUUUUAGGGGGUUCGAGUGGAUUUUAAGGUUUUCAGUGGGUUUGAAGGGUUUAUAAUGGUUUUUCAAGGGUUUAUAGUGGUUUUUUAAGGGUUUUUAAGUUUUUUGAGGGGUUUUAGUGGUUUUCAGGGGUUUAUAAUGGUUUUUAAGGGGUUUAUAAGUGUUUUGAGGGGGUUUUAGUGGUUAAUAUUGCUUUUUUAGGGGUUUAUAAGUGUUUUGAGGGUUUUUAGUGAUUUUUAGUGGUAUUUUUGGGCUUUUAGAGUAUUUAAGGGGUCUUUUUAGGUUUUUAUGGUUUUUAAGGGGUAUUUUUCAGUUUUAGGGUUUUUAAGGGGUAUUUUUGGAUUUUUAUGGUUUUAAGGAUAUUUUUGGGUAUUUUUGGGUGUUUAGGGUUUUUAAGGGAUUUUUUUUUUUUGUUUUUGGGGUUUUUAAGGGGCAUUUUUGGGUUUUUAUGGUUUUUAAGGGAUAUUUUUGUGUUUUUGUGGGUAUUUUUCGGCUUUUAGCCCCUUUUAGGGGUAUUUUCAGAUUUUUAGGGUUUUUAAGGGGUAUUUUGGGGUUUUUAUGGUUUUUAAGGGGUAUUUUCGGGUUUUUAAGGGAUAUAAGAGAUAUUUUUGGGUUUUUUAGGGGUAGUUUUGGGGUUUUAAGGGAUAUUUUUCUAUUUUUGGGUUUUUAAGGGGCAUUUUUAUGUUUUUAUGGUUUCUAAGUGGUAUUUUUGGGUUUUUAGGGUUUUUAAGUGGUUUUUUUGGGUUUUUAGAGUAUUUAAGGGGUAUUUUCGGGUUUUUAUGAUUUUUAAGGGGUAUUUUUGGGUUUUUAUGAUUUUUAAGGGGUAUUUUUGGGGUUUUAGGAUUUUUAAGGUGAAUUUUUGGAGUUUUAGGGUGUUUUUUUAACUUUGGGUUUUUAGGGUUUGUUAAGGGUAUUUUUGGAUUUUUAGGGUUUUUAAGGGGUAUUUUCGGGUUUUUAGUGUUUUUUGGGGAUUUCUGGGUUUUUAAAGGAUAUUUUUCUGUUUUUAGGGUUUUAAGGGAUAUUUUUGGGUAUUUUUGGGUUUUUUUAACAAAAAAAUAUCCCUUAAAAACCUUAAAAACCCAAAAAUACCCCUUAAAAACCCUAAGAACCCAAAAAUAUCCCUAAAAAUCCUAAAAACCCGAAAGUUCCCUUAAAACCCCUAAAAACCCAAAAUUACCCCUUAAAAACCUUGAAAACCCAAAAAUACCCCUUAAAAACCCUGGAAAUCCAAAAAUACCCCUAAAAAAAUCUGAAAACCCAAAAAUACCCAAAAAAACCCAAUAAAGCAUAAAAUUCCCUUUAAGAAUCCUAAAAACCGAAAAAUACACCUUAAAAACCAUAAAAACCCGAAAAUACCCCUUAUAUACUCUAAAAACCCAAAAAUACUCCUUAAAAACCAAAAAAUACCACUAAAAAUCAUUAAAAACUCUCAAAACACUUAUAAACCCCUAAAAACCAAUAUAAACCCCUAAAAAUCACUAAAACCCCCUCAAAAUACAUAUUGACCCCUUAAAAAUCAUUAUAAACCCCUAAAACCACUAAAAACUCCUCAAAACACUUGUAAACCCCUAAAAACCCACUAUAAACCCUUUAAAAUCGACUAUAAACCCUUCAAAACCACUAUAUGCUUAUACGAUUGUGCGUGUGUGUGGGUUUAUGUGUUUAAUACAUGUGUUUGUCAGAAUGUUUGUGUGUUUUUGUGUUUGUGUGUGUCCAUGUGUGUGUGUGUGUGGGUUUGUGGGUGUGUUUCUGUGCGUGCGUGUGUUUGUUUGGGUGUGAGUUAGUGUGUGCAUUUUUAUUUGUGUUUGUAUGUGUUUGUUUUUGUAUUUGUAUGUGUGAGUGUGUGUGUGUGUGAUUUUAUGUUUUAAUGUUUGAGAGAGAGAGAACGAGAAAAAGAGAGAGUGUGUGUCUAUGUGUUUGUGUAUGUGAUGUUUGUAUUUGUGUUUGUGUGUGUUUAUGUGGGUGAUCUGUGUGUAGGUGAAUGGAAGUGUAAGUAUAGGUUUGUGUAUGUGUGUAAUAGGUGUUUGUAUGGGCCGGUGUGUGCGUAAUAUCUGUGUGUUUGUUUGUAUUUGUUUGUGGUGGUAGGUGUGUAUGUGUUUGUGUGUGCAUUCAUGUGUGUAUGUGUGUUUGUGUGUGUGUGUAUGUUGUUGUGUGUGAAUGUGUGUUUGUGCUUGCUUGUUUGUGUGAGAGUGUGUGUUUGUGUUUGUGUGGGUAAUAUGCGUGUGUGUGGGUGUAUCUUUGUUUAUACAGUUACGAGUGUUUAUGAAUAUGUUAGUGUAAUAUGUGUGUUUGUGUGCGUAUGAGUGUGUGUGUGCUGUGUGUGUGUGUUUAUGUGGGUGAUAUGUAUGUGUGGGUAUAAGUUUGUAUGUGUGUGUGUAAUAUAUGUGUUUGUGUGGGUGGGUGGGUUUGUGUGUUUGUGUGUGUGUAAUAUGUGCGUGUGGGUCUGUGUCUAUGUUUGUGUCUCUGUGUGUGUAUGUGUGUUUGUGUGUGUGCAUGUAUGCAUGUGUGUUUGUGUUUACGUGGGUAAUAUGUGUGUAUGUGAGUGUGUAGGUGUCUGUGUUUAUACAGUUACGUGUGUUUGUGUAUGUGUUUUUGUGUGUGAGUGUGUGUGUGUGUGUUUGUUUGUGUGUGUACUAUGUGUGUUUGUGUAUGUAAUAUAUAUGUGUUAAUGUCUAUUUAUGUGUGGAUGGGUUUUUGUGUGUAUACGUGUGUGUGUUUUUUUUUGUUUAUCUGAGUGUGUGUGUGUGUUUGUUUGUGUUUGUAUGUGAGUGUCUUUGUCUGCGUAAUGUGUGUGUGUAUGUGGGUGUGUGUGGCUAUAUGUUUAUACGAUUGUGCGUGUGUGUGUGUUUAUGUGUUUAAUAUAUGUGUUUGUGAAAGACUGUGUAUGAGUCAUUUUUUGUGUGUACGUGUGUUUCUGUGUGUAAUAUGCAUGCGUGUGUGUUUGUGUGUUUGUUUGGUUAAUUUUAUCGUGGGUGAUCUUAUAGUAGGGAAUUUUAUCGUGGGCGAACUUAUCGUGGGUAAUCUUAUGGUAGGUGAUCUUAGAGUGGGUGAUCUUAUCGUGGGUGAACUUAUAGUGGGUGAUUUUAUCGUGGGUGAUCUUAUCGUGGGUGAUUUUAUCAUGGGUAAUCUUAUUGUGGGCGAUCUGAUCAAGAGGUGAACUUAUUGUCAGUAAUUUUAUUGUGGGUAAUCUUAUCAUGGGUGGUCUUAUAAUGAGUGAUUUUAUUGUGCGUGAUCUUAUAAUGAGUGACUUUAUCGUGGGUGAUCUUAUAGUGGGUGAUUUUUUCGUGGGUGAUCUUACAGUAGGUGAUUUUAUCGUGGGAAAAGCUGCGUCACUAUUAGCGGGGUUAAAACCGACGGUAUUAGCGGGCGUUUUAACCCCUGGUAUUAGCGGGGGUUUUAACCCCCGGUAUUUGUGUGGGUUUUAAACAACGGUAUUAGCGGAGGUUUUAACCCCAAGAAAGUAUGUUACCCGGAUUAGGAAAACCCUUGGAAAAGCUUUGAAAAACUGUGUGACUAUUAGCGGGGGUUUCAACCCCCGGUAUUGGCGGGGGUUUUAACCACCGGUAUUGGCGGGGGUUUUAACCCCCAGUAUUGGCGGGGGUUUUAACCCCCGAUAUUAGCGGGUGUUUUAACCCCUGUAAAGUAUGUUACCCGGAUUAGGAAAACCCUUGGAAAAGCCUUGAAAAACCGCGUGACUAUUAACGGGGGUAAAAACCCCCGGUAUUAGCGGGGGUUUUAACUCCCGGAAAGUAUGUUACCCAGAUUAGGAAAUCCCUUGGAAAAGCUUUCAAAAACUGCGUGACUAUUAGCGGGGGUUUUAACCCCCGGUAUUGGCGGGGGUUUUAACCACCGGUAUUGGCGGGGGUUUUAAACCCCGGUAUUGGCGGGGAUUUUAACCCCCGAUAUUAGCGGGUGUUUUAACCCCUGGAAAGUAUGUUACCCGGAUUAGGAAAACCCUUGGAAAAGCCUUGAAAAACCGCGUGACUAUUAGCGGGGGUAAAAACCGUGGGUAUUAGCGGGGAUUUUAACCCCCGGUAUUAGCGGGGGUUUUAACCCCCGGAAAGUAUGUUACCCGGAUUAGGAAAACCGUUAGAAAAACUAUGGGAAAAGCUUCGUCACUAUUAGCGGGGGUUAAAACCCCCGGUAUUAGCGGGGGUUUUAACCCCCGGUAUUUGCGGGGGUUUUAACCCCCGGUAUUUGCGGGGGUUUUAACCCCCGGUAUUUGCGGGGGUUUGAACCCCCGGUACUAGUGGGGGUUUUAACCCCGGUAUUAGCGGAGGUUUCAACCCCCAGAAAGUGUGUUACCCGGAUUAGGAAAACCCUUGGAAAAGCUUUGAAAAACUGCAUGACUAUUAGCGGGGGUUAAAACCGCCGGUAUUAGCGGGGUUUUAACCCCCAGAAAGUAUGGUACCCGGAUUAGGAAAACCCUUAGAAAAACUAUGGGAAAAGUUUCGUCACUAUUAGCGGGUGUUAAAACCGCUGGUAUUAGCGGGGGUUUUAACCCCCGGAAAGUAUGUUACCCGAUUAGGAAACCCCUUGGAAAAGCUGUGGGGAAAAGAUGCGUCACUAUUAGCGGGGGUUAAAAUCGACGGUAUUAGCGGGGGUUAAAACCCCCGGUAUUAGUGGGGGUUUUAACCCCCGGAAAGUAUGUUACUUGGAUUAGGAAAACCCUUGAAAAAGCAGUGGGGAAAAGUUGUGUCACUAAUAACGGGGGUUAAAACCGUGGGUAUUAGCGAGACUUUUAUGUCCCGUAAAGUAUGUUACUCGGAUUAGGCAAACCCUUAGAAAAGCUGUGGGGAAAAGCUGCAUCACUAUUAACGGGGGUUAAAACCGCCGAUAUUAGCCACAGAAACACAAACACACUCUCACACAAACAAGGAAGCACAAACACACAUUCACUCACACACAUACACACACACAUGCAUGCACACACAAACACACACACACACACCUACCACCACAAACACAUACAAACAAACACACACACAUAUUAUACACACACACCUGCCCAUACAAACACAUAUAUUACACACACAUACACAAACCUAUACCUACACUUCCAUCCACCUAUACACACAUAUCACCCACAUAAACACACGCAAACACACAUAGACACAUCACACAAACAAACAUAUAGACACACACACACUCUCUCUCUUUUUCUCUUUCUCUCUCUCUCAAACAUUAAAACAUACAAUCACACACAAACACAUUCACGCACACACAAACACACUCACACAUACAAAUAUAGAAACAAACACAAACAAACACAAAUAAAAAUAAAAAAACACACACUAACUCACACCCAAAGAAACACACACAGACACACACACAAACCGACACACACACAUGGACACCCACAAACGCAAAAACACACAAACACUCUGACAAACACAUGUAUUAAACACAUAAACACACACACACACCGCACAACCUUAUAAACAUAUGCACUCUCACACCCACCCACACACACACAUAUUACGCACACAAAGACACAAAGACACAAACACUCCCAAACACACANACUCAAACAAACACAAAAAAACACACACAUACAUAAACCCCCUAUUCACACAUACAUAAACCCCCCAUUCACACACAUACGCACAUAGAUACACACACAUAUAUUACACACACACACACACAUAUUACAAUACAAACACACACACACACACACAAACACAUGCACAAACACACGUAAUUAUACAAACACAAACACACUCACAUACACACAUAUUACCAAACGAACACACACACACUCUCACACAAACAUGCACACACAACACACAAACCCACAUUCAGACACACACACACACCCAUAAACAUUGACACCCACACACACAAACACAUAUAUUACACACACGCACACACCUACAUACAUACAAACCUAUACCCCUACACACAUACCACCAACAUAAACACAUAAACACACACACACACACACACAUCAGACACACAAUCACAUUAACACACACACAUACAAAGACAUUCAUACAUACACAAACACACACACACACACAGACUCACACGCACACACACAGAAACACAUACACAAACGCACAUAACUGUAUAAACACCAAACACAAACACACCUACACACACAUAUUACCCACACAAACACACACACACACACAGACUCACACAUACACACAAAAACACAUACACAAACACACAUAACUGUAUAAACACAAACACAAACACACCUACACACACAUAUUACCCACACAAACACACACACACACACGCAGACUCACACACACACACACACACACAAAAAUACAUACACAAACGCACGUAACUGUAUAAACACAAACAUAAACACACCUACACACACAUAUUACCCACACAAACACACACACACACACUCACACAAACAUGCACAUAUAAACACACAUUCACACACACACACACACACAUAAACACACAAACACAAACACACACACCUCCACAAACACACAUAUAUUACACACACACACCCACCCCACAUACAAACUUAUACCCACACUCCUAUUCGCCCAUACACACAUCACUCACAUAAACACACACAAACACAUAGACACACACACAAUCUCUCUCUCUCUCUCAUACUCGAAAACACACAAUCACACUUAGAUUCACACACAAACAACACAUUAUAGUGGUUAUUGAGGGGUUUGUAAGUGUUUUUAGUAGUUUUUAGUGGUUUUUAAGGCUUUAUAGCAGGUUUAGAAGUGUUUUUAGGGGUUUCUAUGGGUUUAUAGUGGUUUUUUAGGGGUUUAUAAGUGUUUUUAGGGGGUUUUAGUGGUUUUUAAGGGUUUGUAAUGGUUUUUGAAUGUUUAUAUAUGUUUUAAGGGGUUUUAGUCGUUUUUAAGAGUUUACAUUGGUUUUUGAGGGGUUUAAAAGUGUUUUUAGUGGUUUUUGAGGGGUUUAAAAAUGUUUUUAGUGGUUUUUAAGGGUUUAUAGUGGUUUUUGAUGGGUUUAUAAGUGUUUUUAGUGGUCUUUAAGGGUUUAUAGUGGUUUUUGAUGGGUUUAUAAGUGUUUUUAGUAGUCUUUAGGGGUUUAUAGAGGUUUUUGAGGGGUUUAAAAGUGUUUUUAGGGGAUUUGAUUGGAUUUUAAGGUUUUCAGUGGGUUUGAAGGGUUUAUAAUGGUUUUUCAAGGGUUUAUAGUUGUUUUUUAGGGGUUUAUAAGUUUUUUGAGGGGUUUUAGUGGUUUUCAGGGGUUUAUAAUGGUUUUUAAGGGGUUUAUAAGUGUUUUGAGGGGGUUUUAAUGGUUUUUAGGGGUUAAUAUUGGUAUUUUAGGGGUUUAUAAGUGUUUUGAGGGUUUUUAGUGAUUUUUAGNNNNNNNNNNNNNNNNNNNNNNNNNNNNNNNNNNNNNNNNNNNNNNNNNNNNNNNNNNNNNNNNNNNNNNNNNNNNNNNNNNNNNNNNNNNNNNNNNNNNNNNNNNNNNNNNNNNNNNNNNNNNNNNNNNNNNNNNNNNNNNNNNNNNNNNNNNNNNNNNNNNNNNNNNNNNNNNNNNNNNNNNNNNNNNNNNNNNNNNNNNNNNNNNNNNNNNNNNNNNNNNNNNNNNNNNNNNNNNNNNNNNNNNNNNNNNNNNNNNNNNNNNNNNNNNNNNNAUUUUUAGGUUUUUAGCCUUUUUUAGGGGUAUUUUUGUGUGUCAUGUGUGUGCGUGUGUGUGUGUUUAUGUUGGUAGUAUGUGUGGGGGUAUAAGUUUGUAUGUGUGUGAGUGUGUGCGUGUGUGUAAUAUAUGUGUUUGUGUAAGUGUGUGUGUGUCUGAAUGUGUGUUUGUGUGUUGUUUGUGCAUGUUUGUGUGAGAGUGUGUAUGUGUGUGUUUGUUUUGUAAUAUGUGUGUGUGAGAGUCUGUCUGUGUCUGUUUUUGUAUAAUUACGUGUGUUUGUGUAUGUGUUUGUGUGUGUGUGUUUGUAGUGUAAUAUGUGUGUUUGGGUAUGUAAUAUAUGUGUUAAGGUGUAUGUGUGCGUGUAUCUAUGUGCUUAUGUGUGUGUGAAUGGGGGGUUUAUGUAUGUGUGUGUUUUUUUGUGUUUGUUUAGUGUGUGUGUUUGUUUGUUUGUGUCUUUGAGAGUGUUUGUGUGUAUGUGUCUUUCUGUGCGUAAUAUGUGUGGGUGGGUGGGUGUGAGUGUGUAUAUGUUUAUACGGUUGUGCGUGUUUAUGUGUUUAAUACAUGUGUUUGUCAGAGUGUUUGUGUGUUUUUGUGUUUGUGUGUGUCCAUGUGUGUGUGUGUCUGUGUGCGUGCGUGUGUGUUUGUUUGGGCGUGAGUUAGUGUGUGCAUUUUUAUUUGUGUUUGUAUGUGUUUGUUUGUGUAUUUGUAUGUGUGAGUGUGUGUGUGUGUGUGUGUGUGUGAUUGUAUGUUUUAAUGUUUGAGAGAGAGAGAGAGAGAACGAGAAAAAGAGAGAGUGUGUGUGUGUCUAUGUGUUUGUGUAUGUGAUGUGUGUAUUUAUGUUUGCGUGUGUUUAUGUGGGUGAUAUGUGUGUGUAGGUGAAUGGAAGUGUAAGUAUAUGUUUGUGUAUGUGUGUGUAAUAUAUGUGUUUGUAUGGGCCAGUGUGUGCAUAAUAUUUGUGUGUGUUUGUUUGUAUGUGUUUGUGGUGGUAGGUGUGUAUGUGUUUGUGUGUGCAUUCAUGUGUGUAUGUGUAUGUGUCUUUGUGUGUGUGUGUGUUGUUGUGUGUGAAUGUGUGUAAGUAUAGGUUUCUGUACGUGUGUUUCUGUGUGUAAUAUGCGUGUGUUUGUGUAUGUGUGUUUGUUUGGGUAAUUUUAUCGUGGGUGAUCUUAUAGUAGGUGAUUUUAUUGUGGGCGAACUUAUCGUAGGUAAUCUUAUCGUGGGUGAUCUUAGAGUAGGUGAUCUUAUCGUGGGUGAACUUAUAGUGGGUGAUUUUAUUGUGGGUGAUCUUAUCGUGGGUGAUUUUAUCAUGGGUAAUCUUAUUGAGGGCGAUCUUAUCAAGAGGUGAACUUAUUGUCGGUGAUUUUAUUGUGGGUAAUCUUAUUGUGGGUAAUCUUAUCGUGGGUGGUCUUAUAGUGAGUGAUUUUAUUGUGUGUGAUCUUAUAAUGAGUGACUUUAUCGUGGGAUCUUAUAGUGGGUGAUUUUAUCGUGGGUGAUCUUAUAGUGGGUGAUUUUAUCGUGGGAAAAGCUACGUCACUAUUAGCGGGGGUUAAAACCGACGGUAUUAGCAGGCGUUUUAACCCCUGGUAUUAGCGGGGGUUUUAACCCCCGGUAUUUGCGGGGGUUUUAAACCACGAUAUUAGCGGGGGUUUUAACCCCCAGAAAGUAUGUUACCCAGAUUAGGAAAACCCAUGGAAAAGCUUUGAAAAACUAUGUGACUAUUAGCGGGGGUUUCAACCCCCGGUAUUAUCGGGGGUUUUCCAAAACUACCGUGUGUGGGUCUGUGCGUGUGUGUGUGAUUGUAUGUUUUCAAGUUUGAGAGAGAGAAAGAGAAAAAGAGAGAGCGUGUGUGUCUAUGUGUUUGUGUGUGUGAUGUGUGUUUGUGUGUGUUUAUGUAUUUAUGUGGGUGAUAUGUGUGUAUGGAUGAAUGGAAGUGUAGGUAUAGGUUUGUGUGUGUGUGUAAUAUAUGUUUGUAUAGGUGGGUAUGUGUGUGUGUUUGUGUGUGCAUGCAUGUGUGUAUGUGUAUGUGUGUGUGUGGUUGUGCUUGCUUUCGGGGGUUAAAACCCCCGCUAAUACCGGCGGUUUUAACCCCCGAAAGCAAGCACAAACACAUGCACACACACACCCACCCAUACAAACACAUAUAUUACACACACAAACUUAUACCUACACUUCCAUUCACCCAUACACACAUAGUACCCACAUAAAUGCAUAAACACACACAAACACAUAGACACACACACUCUCUCUUUUUCUCUUUCUCUCUUUCUCAAACAUGAAAACAUACAAUCACAUACACACACAUACGCACACGCACGCACACACACACACACGCAUACAGAAACAAACAAAUACAAACACAAAUAAAAAUAGACACACUAACUCACGCCCAAACAAACACACACACACGUACAGAAACACACACACACGCACAAAAACACACACACAAACACAAAAACACACACACACACACAUUGACAAACACAUGUAUUAAACACAUAAACACACAUACACGCACAAUAGUAUAAACAAAUACACACUCACACCCACCCACCCAUACACAUAUUACGUACACAAAGACACUAACACAAACACUCCCAAACACACAAAAAAACUCACACAGUGAUACAUCAAGGCUUGAUGUAGGAUGGUAGAUCCGUGAGAUCAGAGGUGGAUAGAAGCAAAACACCAGAUGCAAUCAAUGGAACAGUACCAGCAUUGUAGUUUUCGUUCCAGAUCUGGACUGUUGGCAGAAACGGGAUUUGAUGGAUAUAUGGAGGCUGUGGCAGCGGAAUGUGUUUGCAGAGGUAAGGUGAAAUGGAGGAUAGCUUGAUGAAGUGGUUCACAACUCAGACGACUCCCUCAAUAGGAAGAAAGUUGCAAUUGAGAAACAAGCUUUGAAGUGAAUCUUGGAAGUAAGGAAAUAGCUAUGCAUUUUAGCAGAGUUUCUUUAUCAUUAAUCCAAAAGUGCUGAUACAAGCAAUGCCUAAGAGGUUUUAUAGGUUAACCUCUCGGCCAUGAGCAUGGAAAAUGCUAAGACCCAUGAAAUGUGGAUCUAAGCCACAUAGGCAAGCAAUGUGAUACAUGUGAUACCUUCUAGAAGGCUUAUUUAACAUGUGCAAGUAAUGCUAAAAGAAAUACAUGCGCAUAUGGAGGGAAAGAAUCAUAAUGCAGCCCCUAUGUUGAUAAGCACACCCCUCCUUAUGUAGCAAUGUCCAUUUUACCCCUAUCCAUGUUCUUGGGUUAUUUGGUGGGCUUGGGCCCCGCGUAUCAUCCCCUCCCCCUUGGAAAGGAUUU